UUCGCAAUGCCCGAAAGGGUGACGAAGCGACGCCGCGUGUGGAAAGAAGGCCUUCGGGUUGUAAACCACUGUCGGGAGUUAAGAAAUGUAAGGGUGUUAAUAGCGCCUUUACUUGACAAAGGCUCCGGAGGAAGCCACGGCUAACUCUGUGCCAGCAGCCGCGGUAAUACAGAGGCGGCAAGCGUUGUUCGGAAUUAUUGGGCGUAAAGAGCACGUAGGCGGCUUUGCAAGUCAGUUGUGAAAGCCUUCCGCUUAACGGAAGAACAGCAGCUGAUACUACAGAGCUUGAGUACGGGAGGGGAGAGUGGAACUUCUGGUGGAGCGGUGAAAUGCGUAGAUAUCAGAAGGAACGCCGGCGGCGAAAGCGAUUCUCCGGUCUGAAACUGACGCUGAGUGUGCGAAAGCUAGGGGAUCAAACGGGAUUAGAUACCCCGGUAGUCCUAGCCGUAAACGAUGGGCACUAAGUAGAGGGGUUUU
rnacentral:rRNA from 1 species